CCAGAACAGAAGAGGACGUCAUAACUCCACCUUACAUCUGACUGUUGUGGCAGAGAAAUCAACAAUGAUAAUAAAUAUCAUCAGGUUGACUCUAGUGGUUGUGACGCCGAUUCCUCUGCUUCUGUUCUGUCUGUGGAUGAGGAAGAAGAAAACUCUGAGCUACACCACGGAACCAAAGGAACCGAUAGAGACUAUAGAGUUGGAGUCUGAUUGUCCAAUGCCUAAACCUUGAAUCAAAAAGGAAUGUGAAUUUCUUCAGAAGUACAGCGUUGAAGUACUCCAGUGGAGAACAGGGGGAUAUGGAGGAACUCCAAAUAUUUUACUUUUUACUUUUUAUUAGCAGCACAGGUAGUCAGCAAUAGCAUAGCAGAGGAUUUAAGUAGAAUGUAAGCUGUAGUUUUACCUGUCCAGGUACAUUACAUACGCUCAGGGUUUAACAUAUUAUGAAUAUUAAAUAAAUGGUAUUUUUACUUUUUAUGUAAUAAUUUGCUUUUAUGAAAAACUGAUUGCCCUUUCACAUUACACCUGUCCUGGCAGAGAAAGUCAAUAAAGUCUUUUCAAAACCAA